rnacentral:rRNA from 1 species
ACUCCUACGGGAGGCAGCAGUGGGGAAUAUUGCACAAUGGGCGCAAGCCUGAUGCAGCCAUGCCGCGUGUGUGAAGAAGGCCUUCGGGUUGUAAAGCACUUUCAGAGGGGAGGAGGNAGUGUGUUUAACACCUGCAUUAUUUGACGUUACCUACNGAAGAAAGCACCGGCUAACUCCGUGCCAGCAGCCGCGGUAAUACGGAGGGUGCGAGCGUUAAUCGGAAUUACUGGGCGUAAAGCGC